GCCUCUUUAGCUCAGUGGCAGAGCACUGGUCUUGUAAACCAGGGGUGGUCGUGAGUUCAAACCUCACAGGAGGCG